rnacentral:rRNA from 1 species
AGACUCCUACGGGAGGCAGCAGUGGGGAAUAUUGCACAAUGGGCGCAAGCCUGAUGCAGCAACGCCGCGUGAGGGACGACGGCCUUCGGGUUGUAAACCUCUUUUAGUAGGGAAGAAGCGAAAGUGACGGUACCUGCAGAAAAAGCACCGGCUAACUACGUGCCAGCAGCCGCGGUAAUACGUAGGGUGCAAGCGUUAUCCGGAAUUAUUGGGCGUAAAGAGCUCGUAGGCGGUUUGUCGCGUCUGCUGUGAAAACUGGAGGCUCAACCUCCAGCCUGCAGUGGGUACGGGCAGACUAGAGUGCGGUAGGGGAGAUUGGAAUUCCUGGUGUAGCGGUGGAAUGCGCAGAUAUCAGGAGGAACACCGAUGGCGAAGGCAGAUCUCUGGGCCGUAACUGACGCUGAGGAGCGAAAGCAUGGGGAGCGAACAGGAUUAGAUACCCUGGUAGUCCAUGCCGUAAACGUUGGGAACUAGAUGUAGGGACCAUUCCACGGUUUCUGUGUCGCAGCUAACGCAUUAAGUUCCCCGCCUGGGGAGUACGGCCGCAAGGCUAAAACUCAAAGGAAUUGACGG